CACCCUAGUACACUUGAUCGUUGCUGACGC
rnacentral:sRNA from 1 species